UGAUUAAGCCAUGCAAGUCAAGGUGUCUUCGGACGCCGGCAUACGGCUCAGUAACACGUAGGUAACCUACCCUCAGGACUGAGAUAACCCCGGGAAACUGGGGCUAAUAUUAGAUAGAUAAAAGAUACUGGAAUGUUCUUUUAUCCAAAGCUUUUGCGCCUGAGGAUGGGCCUGCGUCCGAUUAGGUCGUUGGUGGGGUAAUGGCCCACCAAGCCUGCGAUCGGUACGGGCAGUGGAAGCUGAAGCCCGGAGUUGGGGACUGAGACAAGGCCCCAGGCCCUACGGGGCGCAGCAGGCGCGAAACCUCUGCAAUGCGGGAAACCGUGACAGGGGGAUCCCAAGUGCUCAUGCAUUGCAUGGGCUGUUCUUUGGUCUAAGUAACCAGAGGAGUAAGGGCUGGGCAAGACCGGUGCCAGCCGCCGCGGUAAUACCGGCAGCUCAAGUGGUAGCCGCGAUUAUUGGGCCUAAAACGUUCGUAGCCGGAUAAGUAAGUCUUUGGUUAAAUCCUGCGACUCAACCGUGGGAAUUCUAGAGAUACUGCUCGUCUUGAGACCGGGAGAGGUUGGAGGUACUCCUAGGGUAGGGGUGAAAUCCUGUAAUCCUAGGGGGACCACCUGUGGCGAAGGCGUCCAACUGGAACGGGUCUGACGGUGAGGGACGAAACCUAGGGGAGCGAGCCGGAUUAGAUACCCGGGUAGUCCUAGGCGUAAAUGAUGCGAGUUAAGUGUGGGGGCAUCUACGAGAUGGCCCUGUGCUGUAGGGUAGCCGUUAAACUCGCUGCCUGGGGAGUACGGUCGCAAGGCUGAAACUUAAAGGAAUUGGCGGGGGAGCA
rnacentral:rRNA from 1 species